GAGUUUGAUCUUGGCUCAGAUUGAACGCUGGCGGCAUGCCUUACACAUGCAAGUCGAGCGGCAGCGCGGGGGCAACCCUGGCGGCGAGCGGCGCACGGGUGAGUAAUGCAUCGGAAACGUGUCCUCUUGUGGGGGAUAACCAGUCGAAAGACUGGCUAAUACCGCAUGAGCACGAGAGUGGAAAGCGGGGGACCGUAAGGCCUCGCGCGAGAGGAGCGGCCGAUGCCGGAUUAGCUAGUUGGUGGGGUAAAGGCCUACCAAGGCGACGAUCCGUAGCUGGUUUGAGAGAACGACCAGCCACACUGGGACUGAGACACGGCCCAGACUCCUACGGGAGGCAGCAGUGGGGAAUUUUGGACAAUGGGGGCAACCCUGAUCCAGCCAUGCCGCGUGUGUGAAGAAGGCCUUCGGUUGUAAGU
rnacentral:rRNA from 1 species